GGUCUUGUAGCUCAGUGGUGAGAGCGCUCGCCUCAUAAGCGAGAGGACCCAGGUUCGAUUCCUGGACAGGGGCGAAACCU